AGUGUACGCUGGCGGUAGGCCUAACACAUGCAAGUCGAACGGCAGCACAGUAAGAGCUUGCUCUUACGGGUGGCGAGUGGCGGACGGGUGAGGAAUACAUCGGAAUCUACUUUUUCGUGAGGGAUAACGUAGGGAAACUUACGCUAAUACCGCAUACGACCUACGGGUGAAAGCAGGGGAUCUUCGGACCUUGCGCGAUUGAAUGAGCCGAUGUCGGAUUAGCUAGUUGGCGGGGUAAAGGCCCACCAAGGCGACGAUCCGUAGCUGGUCUGAGAGGAUGAUCAACCGCACUGGAACUGAGACACGGUCCAGACUCCUACGGGAGGCAGCAGUGGGGAAUAUUGGACAAUGGGCGCAAGCCUGAUCCAGCCAUACCGCGUGGGUGAAGAAGGCCUUCGGGUUGUAAAGCCCUUUUGUUGGGAAAGAAAAGCAGCAGGUUAAUACCCCGCUGUUCUGACGGUACCCAAAGAAUAAGCACCGGCUAACUUCGUG
rnacentral:rRNA from 1 species